CUGGAGCUGUCUUCAGACACAUCAGACCCCAUUACUGCCGGUUGAGAGCUGCCAUGUGCUUGCUGAGAAUUGAACUCAAGACCUCUGGAAAAGCAGUUGGUGCUCUUAACCACCAAGCCAUCUCUCCAGCCCCAAGAUAUCACUUUCAAAGGUCUCCAGAAGAAGGUGUGAAUCCACGCCUGGAUCUGGGACUUGCUUCGUCCCAGAUGACCUUGAACUCGGAUCUCCCCAUCUUAAUCUGGGAUUCAUAGCCGCUAUGCCUCAAGAUCUCCAUGCCAAGAUCCAGGUCAGAAACUUGUACCUCUGAGUCUCCAGAUUAGGAUCACAGCAUGUGAUGCCUCCACCAUGUUACCAUGCAGCAGACAGCCCUUGCCAGAGGCCCACCAGAUCUUGCCCUUGGAUUUCCCAGACCCUACAACUGUGAGCCAACAUAUUUCUAUUCUGUAUGAAUUACCCAAUCUCUGGUAUUUUGGUAUAGCAACACCAAACAAUUAUACUAGGGCAUGACUUAAGAAAGAGCUAGAAAUGUUGACACCAUGGACACAGUAGUCUUUGGUUCCAAAGUUUGUACUACACACACACACA